UGUCCCAAAUUUCUUGUCUUAGAUUUGUCUAGAUACGGAUGUAUCUAAUACUAAAAUGUGACUUGAUACAUCCGUAUCUAGACAAAUCUAAGACAAGAAUUUUGGGACGGAGGGAGUACUUU
rnacentral:pre_miRNA from 1 species